AAACCUCAACCUCCUUGGUUUCUUCUGGAGACCAAAGCAGGCUUGGACUUUGGAGGCCUUUGCUGGCACCUCUGCCAGCUCCUCUUAAACAAAUUAGCAGGGUCCUCUUUGCUGGUCCUUGACGUGUGAUAAGAUGCUUCCAUGUCUUGGUUUCUGGCUCUGUUGCCUUUGGGACCUGCUUCUAACCGUCUGGACCUUGCGUCGAGACAACGUUCGAGCGUGUGCGACCCCUUCUCGGGGAAGCUCCCUUGACCCCACGAAC
rnacentral:misc_RNA from 1 species